CCCCAACUUUGUCUCUUGCUUUUUAGUUUAAACUGUCCCCUAUUAGGGACCCCCUUCUCCCUGUUCUUUUCUUUUCUUGGAACCCUCCUUUCGGGUCUCUUUGGAGAUGCUGUAUGCUGGUCAUGCAAAGUUUUGACGCUACGGAGAUCCCCUUCGUGGAAACAGACCCAGCCCCCUCACCCUCAGGAGGUCAAACAGUUUUUGCAGGCUGCAAAAAAGACUCUAAUUAGCCGAAGGAUAAGAAUUAGGAAGGUCAGGAAACAAAAAGGAACUUCAGGAAUAUCAAGGAGGUCCGGCUGGAAUGCCAGGUAACAUAUAGCUAACUAGGGAUGUGAUUAAGUAACCGUGAAAGUAAGGAGCCCCUGAGGACAAACCUAAGGAUCUCUGACCUCACAUCACUAUGUUUGUGAUAAGGUUUGUUCGAUUGUCAAAUAAGAAUCUUUAUGUGAAGGGAAAUAACUUUAUAUCUUAUAACCUAUCUAUAUAAGUUUAUAAUUGAAUUUGGGGGUGUCUGAAUUCGUUUUACGAAGUGCUCCACUGCAAUAAGAGUAAUGAAUAGAGAUACUAACUGAUAUUCUUAAAUUCUAGUAUGAAUUAGAUAUAAUUGUAAUAAUGUUGAUGGAAUUUAAUCAGGAAUAUAGCAAUAUUUUAGGCUAAAUAAAAACUAAACUGUAGGUUUUAUUCUACUUUAGACAGGUUUUGAGGAAUGCAUGUAAAUGCUUUGUACUUCAGUUUGGUUAAACACUGAAACAUGGCUAAAGGACUUAAUCAAAGUUAUUUGGGAGUUGUGGAGUUUAAACUAAAAUCCACGAGAGUAAAUUAUUAUGAAAAAGGUUUGAUAAAUUCAAUAUUAUAGUAAGCUCACUUGUUAAAGAAGGAUGGGCCAAGGCUGUUAAGAAAUAAAUCUAAAUUGAGCCAAGGAGCCUUACGAUAAAUUGCUCAGAAGCUAUUAACCCCUUCCUUGCACACAGGAAGGAGAAAGAAGUUCCACACUAAUACUUGUGAACUGAAAUAGGGAUCUCAAAGAGUUAACAACCACUGUGUGAUAGAACUUAAGAUAAGUGUAUUUUAAUUGUAGAUUCAGAGGUUUUAAGAUGCUCAAACAAGCAAACUUUGCCAGGCCUGGUCUGACCAAGUAGCUUGUUUGAAGCCGUGAAUUUUAGUGCAAACAUUCCAUGUUGUAAAGAUUAAAAUUUAGGAAUAUGGGGAGACUGAGGCAGGUAGAAAUUAGUUUCUCUCUGCAAGAAGUAUAUUUUUUAGAGGUUUAUUAAAGGUUAAAGAUUAAAGAAUAUACAAGUAAGAAACAUGUGCCUAGGCCAGAGGCCUAGACAAAAUAACCUCACAUCACGCAAGAGACGCGCCUGCUCCAAAACGGAAGUCCAAAAGAGCCCCCCAAAACCUUUGCCACCAGCUUAAAUCCUUCCUCAAUCUCGGCCCACCUCAGAAUUCCCAUGAGAUUACAAAGCAUUUUGGGGAAGUGGAGCAAAGGCUUGUGGGGAUUGUAGUCCUGUAUUCGAGUCUAUUUUUUACAGUGUCCAGAAUGAUAAGAUUAUUCAGCCAACAAUAUGUAGCUUCAGCCCUUCAUUCUGUAAGACUACACUUUCCUGCUCUGUACAUCAUCCAUUAUAUGGAUGAUAUUCUUAUUGCGGCUGAAGAUGAAUCCCAAAUAAGCAAAUGCUAUCUAUAGUCAAUUGGAAAUUACCUUGCAAAAAUACCAUUUAGUUAUUGCUCAAGAAAAGAUUCACAAAACAAGUCCCGUACUCUAUCGAGGGGCUCAGUUAUAUGCAACAUCCAUUAUGCCUCAAAAAUAUAAUUAAGAAAGGACUGCUUUAAUGAUUAUCAGAAAUUGUUAGGUGAUAUCAAUUGUGUCAGGCAAUAUUCAUUUCUUACUACAACUGAAUUACAACCUUUAUUCAAAAUACUGGAAGGGAGUUCUGACUCGAAUUCCCCUGGAACUUUGACACCUGAGGCCUCUCUUGCUUUAGAGAUAGUAGAAGAUAGAUUGAAUCAGGCUCCACUUAACCAUUAUUAGCCUCAAUUAGCCGUGGAAGUGACUAUUUUUGCAACUUUAAUGUUACCAACAGGUGCCUUAACUGAGAAACAGAGUCAUUGAAUGGUUACAUCUAAAAAGCAAAACAGGAAAGGCUUUACAGAGUUAUGACUGUCUGAUGGCUCAAUUAAUAUGGAAAGGCAGAGAACAUGUGGUCUGAGGUUUAGGACGGUGUCCUCAUGAAGUCCAGGUACCCAUUGCUAAAGAUAUACUACAGAAAUAUUUAGUCUUUGCUAUUAGCAUACCCCAUUGCUAUUACCACCGACACUCCACAAGGUUUAUUUUCUUUUUUGUCACAACAUCCUAUUGUUUUUCCUAAUAUUCUAAGAGAUUGUCCGGUAUCAGGACCUAAUGUUUGUGUUGAUGCAAAUGCUAAUUACAAGACAGGAGUAUACAAGCAAGGCAGUUCACCUGUCAUUUUUACACUCCUUUUUCUUCUACCCAACAAAAUGAAUUAACAGCUGUUUGACUAGCUUUUUGGUUAUUUCAGGAGCCUUUCAACCUCAUAAUGGACUCUAAAUAUGUUUUUCAGUCUUUGCAGGGUAUAGAACAAGCUGUCAUCAGAUCUACCCAAAGCAAUGUGCAAAUGUAAAUUACAAACUGUCCUAUGACAAAGGACACAUCCAGUAUAUGUCAUGCACAUACACAGUCAUACCAAUCUGCCUGGACCUAGUUUUAAAGGAAAUGACAUCAUAGAUCAAGCUUUGAUUGCUCCGUGUUAUCUAACUGAUAUACAAUUAGCUGAGGAAUCACAUCAUAGAUUUCACCAAAAUAGUCCCGCUUUAUGCCAAAUGUUCCAAGUCACUAAAGAUCAAGCCAGAAGUAUUGUUAAAAAGUGUCCUAAUUGUGUUCCAAACCACCCCCCAAUGCAUAUUGCUGUGAAUCCCAGAGGCUUAAAUAGUACAGAGAUAUGGCAAAUGGAUGUGACCCAUGAACCGUCCUUUGGGCCACUUAAAUAUAUCCAUGUCACUGCGGAUACUUAUUCAGGAUUUUUAUGGGCUUCCUGCUUGAUGGGAGAAAGAACUUCUCAUGUUGUUAAUCACUGCUUAAUGACUUUUGAGAUGGCCGGUCCCCCCAGAACAUUUAAAACAGAUAAUGGACCUGCUUAUACUUCCAAACAAUUUUUUCUUUUUUGCCACACUUGGGCUAUUCACCUCACAGGUAUCCCACACAAUCCACAAGGACAAACCAUUGUGGAGCACAGUAAUCAGAUCUUAAAAACAUUUCUUUUAAAACAAAAAGGGGGAGACAGCAUCCCACAUGGAUGAUUGGCAAUAGCUAUAUAUACUAUACAUAAUCUGAUCUUUACUUCCAAUAAUAUACCCAGAGCUGAAAAAUUUUUCUCUGCAUUUUCUUAUGAAUGAAAUUCAGGCACCGCUCCUGUGCUCCCUGCCCCAGAACAAAAACUUGGCAUGUGGAAAGAUGAUAAUCAAACUUGGCAAGAGGCAAGGACUACCCGGUGGUCCUGCAAGGCCGAGGUUCGGUUUGCGUCUCCACAGGUAAAGACAGAGUAUGGCUCCCUCCCCGCCGAGUUCGAGAAAUGGACCAUAAAGAGAAGGACAAGGAGAGGACGCAGGAAGCCUCGCAAGGAGACUCGACAACGUCUCCAUAAGAUACUGACUCUUCUGCUUCUAUUCCAGACUUUAAGUGCAGCUACUGGAGUACAGAGAUGGUCUUUGGGGAACAACCCCCUUGGGUAGAGUAUGUCGGCAUGGGACACGCUUUACCGGAAGUCAUCUUAUAUACAAAAACUGACUGAUAUUCCUGGCAUUUACCAUUUUGAGAGACAAGCUAAGGACAACAAUCAGGACAACAAUUUGUUUGUGCCUUUCAAUUGGACUGGACUAGUUGAGGCACCCCCAGUGGGCCUCGCACGAGACCAUCCUGCAUGCCUGCCCCUCAGAUCUCUGCAGGUGCGUUAUUAUGGUCAUUCUGACCUGUCAGACUCUUUCUGGAUAGGACCUUAUUGUGUAGAUAAAAGGGAAAAAUAUGAAGAUUAUGGCCAACUGCAAUAUCUAGGUUGGCUGGGGGAAUCUUGGGAUAGUAUUUGGGGACAAGAAAGACCUAUUUGUCCAUAUGUGAUGGGAUAUGAACAAAGAGACUCUGUUAAUAUGUUUCUGCCCUUGCUGUCAUGUCGAUCUAAAAGGGCAUCAUGUAGUCAUUGGAAAAAUAUGAUUUGGGUGUCUUGGCAUAACGACACUAGGUAUACUGGAAAGAAAUUGGAUUCUUAUAAAUUUCAUGAUUGUUUUAUAGGAUAAGCUCGCCUUUGUGGGUGACGCCCCCAGAGCUAAUUGGUUACAUUCUGCUAAUUUCACACAGAUUUUGACUGAUUAUGGAAAGAUAGCCCUGGCAUUGGAAAAAGUAAAUAUGUCUCAUUAUGUUAAUGUUACUUAUAACGGAAAAGUCCAAAAACCAGUAACUAGAAGUGUUACAUUAGACAUUCAAGGUAAACACUCAGGGGGAUGGUAUCACUCACCGGCAGAGAGAGCAAUGGAAAAAUUGUCUCAACUAAUCAACCCUAGGAAUAGAAGAUGUAUUUCUUGCUUGGUUUUAGGAAUUGUAGCUCUUAUAGCCGCCAUAACAGCUACAACUGUCAGUAGUGUUUCUCUAGCACAAAAUGUAGCUAAUGUACAGACCCUGGAACAUGAUGCGGCAUACUUACACGGGCUAGCACAGAAUGUAACCCAGGUUUUGCACUUACAGCAAGAUAUUAAUACAAGGGUUUUUUAUGCUUUACAACAAAUAUCUAAAGAUGUAUCGUUAUUAACCAAUCAAGUAGAAAUUUUAGCUAUUAAGGGGAAAUUAAGGUGUGAUUAUCGCUAUUCAGCCUUUUGCCUCCUUCCUGUUAAAGCUAACACGUCUGAUGCAUUUGAAGAAAUUAGAAAUGAUUUACAAGGUCUUUGGUUAAAAAGUAACAUCUCAGAGGAUAUCCAACAACUGAACCAUAUCAUUGAUGAGAUGGAUAGCUCUUUAGCUGAGGACCUUCAUCCUAAACAAAUUGCUGAUUCCUUAUACAAUUGGAUUAAAUCAGGCCAAAGUUGACUAUCUCCUUUAGCUCAAAUGAAUAUAACCAUAUUGACUUUCAUACUGUUCAUAGUUAUCUUGGUGAUCCUUCUUCCCUGUCUGUUCCAACUCCUUUUGUCCAGCUUGGGCAAAAUUGGCUGGACUUUGGCCCUCCACAGAUUACUGUGGCAAAACAAAAAGGGGGAAUUGUAGUCGAGGCAGAGCCUCCUCUCUCCUUUGUUUGUCUUUGCUUCAGACAAAGAUGUGGAUUAACCUUUACCCAUCCUGGGACCAAGGAUGGAACAGUAAACAUGAAGGAAGCAGGAUAACAUUUAUGAAAAGCAAAUUGUGAUAAGGUGGGCGCCUAUCCCCUUGUCUGCCCCUCUUCCCCUUGUUUGGAUUUGCAUUAGAUGAAGAUGUGGAUUAACCUUUGAACACCUGCCUAUCCCUGAACCAAGGUUAGGGUUUCUGGAAUGAAGAAUCAUAAAUUCCUGUGGGUUUUGUCUAAGUAGUCUUUGCCUAUAAAAGUUCUGUGUGAAGCAAAUAAAUUUGGCACUAUUUCUCUCUUUCA